rnacentral:rRNA from 1 species
GAUGAACGCUGGCGGCGUGCCUAAUACAUGCAAGUCGAGCGAACAGACGAGGAGCUUGCUCCUCUGACGUUAGCGGCGGACGGGUGAGUAACACGUGGAUAACCUACCUAUAAGACUGGGAUAACUUCGGGAAACCGGAGCUAAUACCGGAUAAUAUAUUGAACCGCAUGGUUCAAUAGUGAAAGACGGUUUUGCUGUCACUUAUAGAUGGAUCCGCGCCGCAUUAGCUAGUUGGUAAGGUAACGGCUUACCAAGGCAACGAUGCGUAGCCGACCUGAGAGGGUGAUCGGCCACACCGGAACUGAGAACCGGGCCCGACUCCUACGGGGAGCAGGAGUAGGGAAUCUUCCGCAAUGGGCGAAAGCUUGACGGAGCAACGCCGCGUGAGUGAUGAAGGUCUUCGGAUCGUAAAACUCUGUUAUUAGGGAAGAACAAAUGUGUAAGUAACUAUGCACGUCUUGACGGUACCUAAUCAGAAAGCCACGGCUAACUACGUG